ACUAACUCUAGCCCUAAACACCUUAAACUUAAUCAAUUAUAAAUAUAAACUAAACCAUUUAACCUAAUAAAAAGUAUUGGAGAAAGAAAUUAUACUUAGGAGCUAUAGAACAAGUACCGUAAGGGAAAGAUGAAAGAUUAUCUAAAAGUAUAAAUAAGCAAAGAUAAACCCUUGUACCUUUUGCAUAAUGAGUUAACUAGAAAAAUUCUAACUAAACGCAUUAAAGCUAGAAACCCCGAAACCAAACGAGCUACCUAAAAACAAUUUUAAGAAUCAACCCGUCUAUGUGGCAAAAUAGUGGGAAGAUUUUUAGGUAGAGGUGAAAAGCCUAACGAGCUUGGUGAUAGCUGGUUACCCAAAAAUGAAUCUCAGUUCAACUUUAAAUUUACCACAAGAACAUAUAAUCCCUAUGUAAAUUUAAAUUAUAGCCAAAAGAGGGACAGCUCUUUAGGAACGGAAAAAACCUUAGAUAGUGAAUAAACAAAUACUUAACACAACCAUUGUAGGCCUAGAAGCAGCCACCAACAAAGAAAGCGUUCAAGCUCAACAUUAAUAACAACUAAUCUAAUAAGUCAAAAAUAAAUUCCUAUCCUGCAGAUUGGGUUAAUCUAUUAUUUCAAUAGAUGAGAUACUGUUAAUAUGAGUAACAAGAAUUAUAAUUCUCCUAGCAUAAGUGUAUAACAACUCGGAUAACCAUUGUUAGUUAUAGGACUAUAGACAAUAUUCCUCCCAUCAACCGUCUAAAACCUUCACCGUUAACCCAACACAGGUAUGCUUCAAGGAAAGAUUAAAAAGAAUAAAAGGAACUCGGCAAACACGAACCCCGCCUGUUUACCAAAAACAUCACCUCUAGCAUAAAAAGUAUUAGAGGCACUGCCUGCCCAGUGACUGAAGUUAAACGGCCGCGGUAUCCUGACCGUGCAAAGGUAGCAUAAUCACUUGUUCCUUAAUUAGGGACUGGCAUGAAUGGCCAAACGAGGGUUCAACUGUCUCUUAUUCUCAAUCAGUGAAAUUGACCUUCCAGUGAAGAGGCUGGAAUUAUAAAAUAAGACGAGAAGACCCUAUGGAGCUUUAAUUAACUAGCCUAAUUUCCAAAUACUAACCCUAAUGGACUAAAACCAACGAAAAAAUAAGCUAGUAAUUUCGGUUGGGGUGACCUCGGAGAACAAAAAAACCUCCGAAUGAUUUUAGUUUAGACUAACAAGUCAAAACAACUACACAAAUCUUAUUGACCCAAAUUCCCUUGAUCAACGGACCAAGUUACCCUAGGGAUAACAGCGCAAUCCUAUUUAAGAGUUCAUAUCGACAAUUAGGGUUUACGACCUCGAUGUUGGAUCAGGACAUCCCAAUGGUGCAGAAGCUAUUAAUGGUUCGUUUGUUCAACGAUUAAAGUCCUACGUGAUCUGAGUUCAGACCGGAGCAAUCCAGGUCGGUUUCUAUCUAUUAACAAUUUUUCCCAGUACGAAAGGACAAGAAAAAUAGAGCCUCCUUAAUAAAAGCGCUCUAAACCCAACUUAUGAAUUAAAUCUUAAUACAAUAGAUCUGUACAACUACAAUCUACCUAGACAAGGUC
rnacentral:rRNA from 1 species